AUUGAACGCUGGCGGCAGGCUUAACACAUGCAAGUCGAGCGGAGAUGAGGUGCUUGCACCUUAUCUUAGCGGCGGACGGGUGAGUAAUGCUUAGGAAUCUGCCUGGUAGUGGGGGACAACGUUUCGAGAGGGACGCUAAUACCGCAUACGUCCUACGGGAGAAAGCAGGGGACCUUCGGGCCUUGCGCUCUCAGAUGAGCCUAGGUCGGAUUAGCUAGUUGGUGAGGUAAUGGCUCACCAAGGCGACGAUCCGUAACUGGUCUGAGAGGAUGAUCAGUCACACUGGAACUGAGACACGGUCCAGACUCCUACGGGAGGCAGCAGUGGGGAAUAUUGGACAAUGGGCGAAAGCCUGAUCCAGCCAUGCCGCGUGUGUGAAGAAGGUCUUCGGAUUGUAAAGCACUUUAAGUUGGGAGGAAGGGCAGUAAGUUAAUACCUUGCUGUUUUGACGUUACCGACAGAAUAAGCACCGGCUAACUCUGUGCCAGCAGCCGCCGCCGUA
rnacentral:rRNA from 1 species